GAAGCUUCCAUGGGCAACGGCACCGGCUCAGACAAGGUGGUAAUGAGUUUGGGCAAGAAAUGCCGCUAUGAAGAGCCUUGUGUCACCUGGUUCCCACCUGCAAGGAAUCCUCUAGACCAAAGCUACCAUGAACUGAGCAGCUUUCCUCUGCCAUACCCUUCCACCACAUUUCAGCCUUGGAGUCAGCAGACCAUGGACAGAAUCUACUGAAACUGUGACUUUGCUGGAUCUCUUCCAUUGCCCCUUCGGAUCCACUCUCCACCCACUCUGGCACCCAGGAGGACAACCUAAUGGAUUGCAUCAACAGGUUCCUUUGCCUUCUGGCUUCUCAUGGACAUAACCAAAGAGAAGUUCCAGCAAGAGAUCAGAAGGAGGAGGAAAGAUCAGGUAUUGCCCACACCAUCAACAAAGCCACAUCCAAGCAGUGGCCCGUUCCAUGGCCACACCUCACACAUGAGGCUCUCCUUCCAAGAUACUGUGGCCACUGUCUCCACUGCCCUUGCAGCCAGGUAACUGUGCUGCUGCUCCUGGUUUCCUUACACCCUGAUGACACAUCUAAGUCAAUGGUCCCUUUAUGAAACAGCAAACUGAGUGUGCCAUUCACUUUGUUAGGGACUCUCAGUGCUAAAGGAAUUAGUUUCUUUUCCUCUUCCUCCACAUGCACACCGCCCCUGGAAAUGCAACUCACAUUAGAG